GUAGUACUCCCUCUGUCCGGAAAUACUUGUCCUCAAAAUGGAUAAAAUGAAAUGUAUCUAUAACUAAAAUAAGUCUAGAUACAACCAUUUCGAGGACAAGUAUUUCCGGACGGAGGGAGUAGUAA
rnacentral:pre_miRNA from 1 species